GGACUAAUGGCUGAGUGGUAAAGCGCUUGAUUUCUGAACCAAGAGGCUUCGAGUUCGAAUCUCUGCUAAGACUG
rnacentral:tRNA from 1 species